AGUCGAGGGGUAUUUAUCUUCGGAUAGAGAGACCGGCGCACGGGUGCGUAACGCGUAUGCAAUCUACCUUUUACAGAGGGAUAGCCCAGAGAAAUUUGGAUUAAUACCUCAUAGCAUAGCAGCUUCGCAUGAAGCCACUAUUAAAGUCACAACGGUAAAAGAUGAGCAUGCGUCCCAUUAGCUAGUUGGUAAGGUAACGGCUUACCAAGGCUACGAUGGGUAGGGGUCCUGAGAGGGAGAUCCCCCACACUGGUACUGAGACACGGACCAGACUCCUACGGGAGGCAGCAGUGAGGAAUAUUGGACAAUGGGCGCAAGCCUGAUCCAGCCAUGCCGCGUGCAGGAUGACGGUCCUAUGGAUUGUAAACUGCUUUUGUACGAGAAGAAACACUCCUAUGUAUAGGAGCUUGACGGUAUCGUAAGAAUAAGGAUCGGCUAACUCCGUGCCAGCAGCCGCGGUAAUACGGAGGAUCCAAGCGUUAUCCGGAAUCAUUGGGUUUAAAGGGUCCGUAGGCGGUUUAAUAAGUCAGUGGUGAAAGCCCAUCGCUCAACGGUGGAACGGCCAUUGAUACUGUUAAACUUGAAUUAUUAGGAAGUAACUAGAAUAUGUAGUGU
rnacentral:rRNA from 1 species